GGCGCGAGCCGGGCGCCCGGGAUGAUGCCGCCGCCGCCGCCGCCCGCCGCCGCCGCCAGGGGAAGGGUUCGGGUUCGGGUCCGGGUCGGGCUCGGCUGGCGCGGGGUGCGGGACGGCCCAGGGCACGGCGGCUGCAGCGGGAGCACACUGAGCGCCCGCCCGCCAUGUCCAGGAAGAAGACCCCCAAGAGCAAAGGGGCCAGCACCCCCGCUGCCUCCACGCUGCCCACCGCCAACGGGGCCCGACCGGCGCGCUCCGGGACUGCGCUUUCCGGCCCCGACGCGCCGCCCAACGGGCCCUUGCAGCCCGGCCGGCCCUCGCUUGGCGGCGGUGUCGACUUCUACGACGUCGCCUUCAAGGUCAUGCUGGUGGGGGACUCGGGCGUGGGGAAGACCUGUCUGCUGGUGCGAUUCAAGGAUGGUGCUUUCCUGGCGGGGACCUUCAUCUCCACCGUAGGCAUUGACUUCCGGAACAAAGUUCUGGACGUGGAUGGUGUGAAGGUGAAGCUGCAGAUGUGGGACACAGCUGGUCAGGAGCGGUUCCGCAGUGUUACCCAUGCCUACUACCGGGAUGCUCAUGCUCUGCUGCUGCUCUACGAUGUCACCAACAAGGCCUCCUUUGACAACAUCCAGGCCUGGCUGACCGAGAUCCACGAGUACGCCCAGCACGACGUGGCGCUCAUGCUGCUGGGGAACAAGGUGGACUCUGCCCAUGAGCGUGUGGUGAAGAGGGAGGACGGGGAGAAGCUGGCCAAGGUGAGUCAGGGCAGGGGGGUGGUGAGGGGGUGCCCCUGGAGGCUGCGAGCCUAGGCUGUCCCCGCCAGGCCACCACCUGGCUGGCAGCAGCUGUUUACAGGAGUAUGGACUGCCCUUCAUGGAGACCAGCGCCAAGACGGGCCUCAACGUGGACUUGGCCUUCACAGCCAUAGCAAAGGAGUUGAAGCAGCGCUCCAUGAAGGCUCCCAGCGAGCCGCGCUUCCGGCUGCAUGAUUACGUUAAGAGGGAGGGUCGAGGGGCCUCCUGCUGCCGCCCUUGAACCUGGCUGAGCUCAGUCCUCUGGAGGAAGCCGCCCAGCCCCUAGAAGGCUGGACAGAGGGUCUCCAGGCCCUUCUGACUUUGUUGCCCUGUGGCCAACGCCCGAGUGUCUGUUUUCAGGAGCCCCAGGUCAAGCCUUGUCCCUUCCUCCUCCCAGCAACAGUCCCGACAAGCAGGCUUCUGAGAGCCCGUGGCCGCACACUGGCCGCCACGGAAAAGCAGUCUUCUGCACGGGACGGGGAGCAGCAAGUGGACAGACUUUGCCACGGUGCUCUGCUGCCCCCUCCUGGGCACGUCCAGGUGAGGGAGGGCUGGGGCUGGCACCACGCACAGUGCCUAACCCUAGAAAAGCCAUGUCUUCAGCCGCACAUGCUCAGGCAGCUAAGGGAGGACGCCUGCCCACGCCUGGGACAGAAGGCUUCACUGCUAAUCACAUCGUGCAUCUGUGUGUCCUGGGAGCUGCCUGCUCCCCGCCCACCCUCUAGGAGGCUCUGGCUCAAACAGCAAUAGGGUCUUCCUCACUGACCUUGGAGGAUGCCUGUGGCCUUGUGAUAAAAUGUGGGAAAUCACAGAAAACACCAGAAACAACAACUGCCAGCCCGGCCACAGCUGAGGUCUGUGAUUUCCGAGCACGCUCCACCUUGCACUCAACUUGGCCUUUUGAUUGCAAGCCUUUGUUUUCA
rnacentral:sRNA from 1 species